GAGAGAGAGAGAGAGAGAGAGAGGAAGAAGAAAAUAACAGAAGAAACCCUUCAGUUCGGAAGGGGGUCGGCAAUGGCAGAUCUGGGGAAAAAAAGCCCUAGAGAUUCGGAGCUCCUUUAAUUACCAACUUCUUGGACGGCGAAUGGAAAAUAAAAAAAAGGGGAACAGAGGCCGGUGGAUUUUCUAACUAAAGAAUAGAAAAGAGGAGAAAAUUGCCAUCAUUCUUGCGACAAGAAGAACUAAAAAGGAGGAGCGGGGAGCCGCGAGCGAAUUGACCCAGUGGAAGGGACCGAGAGUCGAGGUGGCCACGUGGCGCCCGGACUGGGGCCAUUACGGCGUUACGCCAGGGGCGGGGUUUCACACGUGUGCGGUCGGGAGCGGUUCGCGCCGGGGCGGAGGACGACCGGUACCUGCCAUUGCUGGGGUUCGCCGGCUCGUGCGGGGAAUAAUUCCAUUCCCCUGGAUAAGAAGGGAGGAAUUCUG
rnacentral:lncRNA from 1 species